AGUGAACGCUGGCGGUAGGCCUAACACAUGCAAGUCGAACGGCAGCACAGUAAGAGCUUGCUCUUACGGGUGGCGAGUGGCGGACGGGUGAGGAGUACAUCCGAAUCUUCUUUUUCGUGGGGGAUAACGUAGGGAAACUUACGCUCAUACCGCAUACGACCUACCGGUGAAAGCAGGGGAUAUUCGCACCUUGCGCGAUUGAAUGAGCCGAUGUGGGACUAGUUAGUUGGCGGGGUAAAGGCCCACCAAGGCGACGAUCGGUAGCCGGUCUGAGAGGAUGAUCAGCCACAUGGGAACUGAGACACGGUCCAGACGCCUACGGGAGGCAGCAGUGGGGAAUAUGGGACAAUGGGCGCAAGCCUGAUCCAGCCAUACCGCGUGGGUGAAGAAGGCGUUCGGGUUGUAAAGCCCUUUUGUUGGGAAAGAAAAGCAGCAGGUUAAGACCCCGCUGUUCUGACGGUACCCAAAGAAUAAGCACCGGCUAACUUCGUG
rnacentral:rRNA from 1 species